CAGUAGCCGCGGUAAUACGAGGGGUGCAAGCGUUAUUCGGAUUGAUUGGGUGUAAAGGGUGUGCAGACGGCUUAUUAAGUCACUUGCUAAAUUCUUCGGCCUAACUGAAGGUCUGCAAGUGAUACUGAUGAGCUAGAGGGUGGAAGAGAGAAGUGGAAUUCUCGGAGUGGCGGUAAAAUGCGUAGAACUCGAGAGGAACACCAAUGGCGAAGGCAGCUUCUUGGUCCAUUCCUGACGUUCAUACACGAAAGCGUGGGGAGCAAACAGGAUUAGAUACCCCCGUAGUCCCUGUCUCUUAUAA
rnacentral:rRNA from 1 species